GCCUGGCUGGCUCAGUUGGUACAGCAUGUGACUCUUGAUCUUGGGACUGUGACUUCAAGCCCCACGUUGGGCA
rfam:Felis catus isolate Cinnamon breed Abyssinian chromosome A1, whole genome shotgun sequence.